rnacentral:rRNA from 1 species
GACGAACGCUGGCGGCGUGCUUAACACAUGCAAGUCGAACGGUGAUGCAGAGCUUGCUCUGCGGAUCAGUGGCGAACGGGUGAGUAACACGUGAGUAACCUGCCCUUGACUCUGGGAUAAGCGUUGGAAACGACGUCUAAUACCGGAUAUGACCCGUGGAGGCAUCUCCUGCGGGUGGAAAGAUCUUUCGGUUGAGGAUGGACUCGCGGCCUAUCAGCUUGUUGAUGAGGUAAUGGCUCACCAAGGCGACGACGGGUAGCCGGCCUGAGAGGGCGACCGGCCACACUGGGACUGAGACACGGCCCAGACUCCUACGGGAGGCAGCAGUGGGGAAUAUUGCACAAUGGGCGAAAGCCUGAUGCAGCAACGCCGCGUGAGGGAUGACGGCCUUCGGGUUGUAAACCUCUUUUGGCAGGGAAGAAGCGAAAGUGACGGUACCUGCAGAAAAAGCACCGGCUAACUACGUGCCAGCCGCCGCCGUAACAC